CAGCCGCCGCGGGAAUACAGAGGGUGCGAGCGUUAAUCGGAUUUACUGGGCGUAAAGCGUGCGUAGGCGGCUUCUUAAGUCGGAUGUGAAAUCCCUGAGCUUAACUUAGGAAUUGCAUUCGAUACUGGGAAGCUAGAGUAUGGGAGAGGAUGGUAGAAUUCCAGGUGUAGCGGUGAAAUGCGUAGAGAUCUGGAGGAAUACCGAUGGCGAAGGCAGCCAUCUGGCCUAAUACUGACGCUGAGGUACGAAAGCAUGGGGAGCAAACAGGAUUAGAUACCCGUGUAGUCCAUGUCUCUUAUAU
rnacentral:rRNA from 1 species